UGGGGAAUCUUGCGCAAUGGGGGAAACCCUGACGCAGCGACGCCGCGUGCGGGAUGAAGGCCUUCGGGUUGUAAACCGCUUUCAGCAGGGACGAGGCCUUAUGGUGACGGUACCUGCAGAAGAAGCUCCGGCUAAAUACGUGCCAGCAGCCGCGGUAAUACGUAUGGAGCAAGCGUUAUCCGGAUUCAUUGGGCGUAAAGCGCUCGUAGGCGGUCUGUUAGGUCGGCAAGUUAAAUCCGGGGGCUCAACCCCCGUCCGCUUCCGAUACCGGCAGACUUGAGUUUGGUAGGGGAAGGUGGAAUUCCUAGUGUAGCGGUGGAAUGCGCAGAUAUUAGGAAGAACACCGGUGGCGAAGGCGGCCUUCUGGGCCAUAACUGACGCUGAGGAGCGAAAGCUAGGGGAGCGAACAGG
rnacentral:rRNA from 2 species